rnacentral:rRNA from 1 species
GAUGAACGCUAGCGGCAGGCUUAAUACAUGCAAGUCGAGGGGCAGCAGUCCCGUAGCAAUACGGGAGCUGGCGACCGGCAAACGGGUGCGGAACACGUACGCAACUUUCCUUCAAGUGAGGAAUAGCCCAGGGAAACUUGGAUUAAUACCUCGUAAUAUUAUGAAGUGGCAUCACUUUAUAAUUAUAGCUCCGGCGCUUGAAGAUGGGCGUGCGCCUGANAGGUAGUUGGCGGGGUAACGGCCCACCAAGCCUACGAUCAGUAACUGGUGUGAGAGCACGACCAGUCACACGGGCACUGAGACACGGGCCCGACUCCUACGGGAGGCAGCAGUAAGGAAUAUUGGGCAAUGGACGCAAGUCUGACCAGCCAUGCCGCGUGGAGGAUGAAGGUCCUCUGGAUU